rnacentral:rRNA from 1 species
AAACCAAGAAGAUUAAGUUAUGUAUUUUCGGUAAAAAGAUAGUUAAGCAUUAAAAUAAUAAGUUUUCUUAAUUAUUAUUAGGAAGUAAAAUUCGAAGAUAAUAUAGAAAUUUAGUUAAAACUAAAAAGCUGAAGCUAUGACACCCUUGAGGGAAACUGGGAUUAGAUACCCCACUAUUCUUGGAUAUAAAAAAUAUAUGUAUUACCAGAGUACUAUGGAUUGAUUACAUUUAAAACUCAAAGAGCUUGGCGGUGUUUUAGACUCUUUAGGGGAACCUGUCUCAUAAUCGACAAUCCACGUAAAACCUGACCUUUAUUUGCUUUCAGUUUGUAUACCGUCGUCGUCAGGUAACUUUUUAGAAGAAAGAAGUUAGCAACUGAGCUUUUAUAAACUCUUACGUCAGAUCAAGGUGCAGCUUAUAUAAAGGAGAGGAUGGGUUACAAUUAUAAAGAUUAUAAUUACGGAAUAACAAUUUUAAAUAAUAGCUUAUAAAGGAGGACUUAAAAGUAAAAUAAAAUAGAUAAAUAUAUUGAAUUGAGCUCUGAAACGUGC